UACUCAGGGACAGAAUGAUGUGCAGCAAGGCUCGUCAUGGAUUUUACCAAAUACAGAACACUGCAAGGCUUGCAAAAUGAAGACCUCAGUAAAAAAAAUUCUAAAUUAUCCACUGAUGGCAGCUCACUACCUGUCCCUAGUGAUGUUAAAAGAGACUGUUGUUCUCAUUUGUUCCAAAACAGGAAUGCCAUAUGAGGAGGCCAACAGAUGAUGCAUCUCCACUGAGUGGACACUCACAAAACGAAUAAAUUAUUAUUAUUUCUUUUUUGUUUGUAAUUGUAUAUUGUCAACAAGGUCAAAGGCACUUGAUCCGAUGCCAAACUUUUGCAUUUCUUUUGAUUUGUGGUAAAUUUUCUUCAGCAACAUUAACAUUGUUUAAAU